ensembl:lncRNA
CAGGAUUAAUUAUAAAUUUACCCAGAGGAAGUUAUUAUACUUUGCUCUUUGAUUUGAGUUUUGGCUUUAAAGAUUCUUUUAGGAGUGAAAUGGAAAUUUCCGUCUUCUCUGAGGCUAUCCACCUUGCCAGUGACUGUGUUAACCAUGUACCUUCCUCGGCGUGUCCCAUACUGACCUCGGAUCAGGUUGUCACCAGGCCACCACUGUGCUCCAUGGCACUGCCAGUGCUGAGCAGCUCUGAUAGUGCCCCCUGAGCUGCAGGGCAGGAGCUGACGUCCUGGCGAGAGCUGGUCCCAAGCUGGAAUCACGCCCCGUGGCCCCACCUGCCUCCCACCCCAUUUCUUCCACCUGAAUAUGGAUACAAGCUCUUUAAGGACAAGCAGUACAGAAGUAUGCUGCUCUCCGAUACGGACUAAGACCUGUGGAAAUCAUCUGGGCUGUGACGGGACCCCUGCGGGGGGAGGCUGGCCGUGUACAACAGUGACCUCCAAAGAUGUCCACGUCUUGGAACCUGUGACAGUGUUGGCCUGCACG